GUGGGGAAUCUUCCGCAAUGGACGAAAGUCUGACGGAGCGACGCCGCGUGAGUGAAGAAGGCCUUCGGGUCGUAAAGCUCUGUCAUCAGGGACGAACGGCCGGUGGAGUGGAAAGCCACCGGAUUGACGGUACCUGAGAAGGAAGCCACGGCUAACUACGUGCCAGCAGCCGCGGUAAUACGUAGGUGGCAAGCGUUGUCCGGAAUUAUUGGGCGUAAAGCGCGCGCAGGUGGGAUCUUAAGUCCAUUUUUAAAGUUCGGAGCUCAACUCCGUGAUGGGAUGGAAACUGGGAUUCUUGAGUACCGGAGAGGAAAGCGGAAUUCCCCGUGUAGCGGUGAAAUGCGUAGAUAUGGGGAGGAACACCAGUGGCGAAGGCGGCUUUCUGGACGGUGUCUGACACUGAGGCGCGAAAGUGUGGGGAGCAAACAGGAUUAGAAACCCUAGUAGUCC
rnacentral:rRNA from 1 species